rnacentral:rRNA from 1 species
AUAUCAAUAAGCGCAGGAAAAGAAACCAACAGGGAUUACCUCAGUAACGGCGAGUGAAGCGGUAAUAGCUCAAAUUUGAAAUCUGGCCUCUUGGGGUCCGAGUUGUAAUUUGUAGAGGAUGUUUUGGGUACCGCCCCGGUCUAAAUUUCUUGGAACAGAAUGUCAAAGAGGGUGAGAAUCCCGUCUUGGACCGGCGGUAGGGCCUGUGUAAAACUCCUUCGACGAGUCGAGUUGUUUGGGAAUGCAGCUCAAAAUGGGUGGUAAAUUUCAUCUAAAGCUAAAUAUUGGCCAGAGACCGAUAGCGCACAAGUAGAGUGAUCGAAAGAUGAAAAGCACUUUGAAAAGAGAGUUAAACAGUAUGUGAAACUGUUGAAAGGGAAGCGCUUGCAACCAGACUUGAGCGCGGCGGUUCCCCCGGUCUUUUGGCCGGGCUACUCCGUCGUGUCCAGGCCAACAUCGGUUCUGAGGGUCGGUCAAAGGCCUUGGGAAUGUAUCUACCCACGGGUAGACUUAUAGACCAGGGUGUCAUGCGGCCUCUCGGGACCGAGGAACGCGCUUCGGCUCGGAUGUUGGCGUAAUGGUUGUCAGCGA